AUACUUGCUUGGAUGGGGUCAAUGGAUGAUCAAGAAGGUCCAUGGCCUAGGUUAGCGACCUCCAUUGCACUUUGGAGGGGCGCUUGCCUAAGGCUGUGUUUGAUAGCAAGAAAAUGUGUUCCGCGGAAAUAUGUUCAUUUUCACCACUUUUGCAAAAUUAUUUUUGUAGGGGCGCUUUUAAGUAAC
rnacentral:snRNA from 1 species